rnacentral:rRNA from 1 species
AGUGAACGCUGGCGGUAGGCCUAACACAUGCAAGUCGAACGGCAGCACAGUAAGAGCUUGCUCUUACGGGUGGCGAGUGGCGGACGGGUGAGGAAUACAUCGGAAUCUACUUUUUCGUGGGGGAUAACGUAGGGAAACUUACGCUAAUACCGCAUACGACCUACGGGUGAAAGCAGGGGAUCUUCGGACCUUGCGCGAUUGAAUGAGCCGAUGUCGGAUUAGCUAGUUGGCGGGGUAAAGGCCCACCAAGGCGACGAUCCGUAGCUGGUCUGAGAGGAUGAUCAGCAACACUGGAACUGAGACACGGUCCAGACUCCUACGGGAGGCAGCAGUGGGGAAUAUUGGACAAUGGGCGCAAGCCUGAUCCAGCCAUACCGCGUGGGUGAAGAAGGCCUUCGGGUUGUAAAGCCCUUUUGUUGGGAAAGAAAAGCAGAAGGUUAAUACCCCGCUGUUCUGACGGUACCCAAAGAAUAAGCACCGGCUAACUUCGUG